rnacentral:rRNA from 1 species
GCGGGAAGAGCUCAAAUUUGAAAUCUGGCAGUCUUCGAUUGUCCGAGUUGUAAUCUAUAGAGGCGUUUUCCGUGCCGGACCGUGUCCAAGUCUCCUGGAAAGGAGUAUCAAAGAGGGUGAUAAUCCCGUACUUAACACGACCACCGGUGCUCUGUGAUACGUCUUCUACGAGUCGAGUUGUUUGGGAAUGCAGCUCAAAAUGGGUGGUGAAUUCCAUCUAAAGCUAAAUAUUGGCGAGAGACCGAUAGCGAACAAGUACCGUGAGGGAAAGAUGAAAAGCACUUUGGAAAGAGAGUUAAACAGUACGUGAAAUUGUUGAAAGGGAAACGAUUGAAGUCAGUCGUGUUCUUUGGAUUCAGCCAGUUCUGCUGGUCUACUUCCUUUGAACGGGUCAACAUCAGUUUUGUCCGGUGGAUAAAGGCAGUAGGAAUGUAGCUUCUCCGGAAGUGUUAUAGCCUAUUGUCACAUACACUGGGUGAGACUGAGGACUGCAGCUCGCCUUUAUGGCCGACCUUCGGGUACGUUCGAGCUUAGGAUGUUGACAUAAUGGCUUUAAACGAC